rnacentral:rRNA from 1 species
AGCGAACGCUGGCGGCAGGCUUAACACAUGCAAGUCGAGCGGGCGUAGCAAUACGUCAGCGGCAGACGGGUGAGUAACGCGUGGGAACGUACCUUUUGGUUCGGAACAACACAGGGAAACUUGUGCUAAUACCGGAUAAGCCCUUACGGGGAAAGAUUUAUCGCCGAAAGAUCGGCCCGCGUCUGAUUAGCUAGUUGGUGAGGUAACGGCUCACCAAGGCGACGAUCAGUAGCUGGUCUGAGAGGAUGAUCAGCCACAUUGGGACUGAGACACGGCCCAAACUCCUACGGGAGGCAGCAGUGGGGAAUAUUGGACAAUGGGCGCAAGCCUGAUCCAGCCAUGCCGCGUGAGUGAUGAAGGCCCUAGGGUUGUAAAGCUCUUUUGUGCGGGAAGAUAAUGACGGUACCGCAAGAAUAAG